CAGCAGCCGCGGGAAUACGUAUGUCGCGAGCGUUAUCCGGAAUUAUUGGGCAUAAAGGGCAUCUAGGCGGCCGGAUAAGUCUGGGGUGAAAACUUGCGGCUCAACCGCAAGCCUGCCCUGGAAACUAUGCGGCUAGAGUACUGGAGAGGUGGACGGAACUGCACGAGUAGAGGUGAAAUUCGUAGAUAUGUGCAGGAAUGCCGAUGAUGAAGAUAGUCCACUGGACGGUAACUGACGCUGAAGUGCGAAAGCUAGGGGAGCAAACAGGAUUAGAUACCCCUGUAGUCCCUGUCUCUUAUAC
rnacentral:rRNA from 1 species